GUCCAAUGUACUAGAGUUUUUGCAAGGGAACAUAUGAUACAAAUGAUUAAUUAGGCAUGGGGCCUAGUAAAAUUAAUCAUUUGUAUCAUAUGUUCCCUUGCAAAAACUCUAGUACAUUGGAC